AGAGUUUGAUCCUGGCUCAGGAUGAACGCUAGCGGCAGGCAUAAUACAUGCAAGACGAACGGCAAGAAUUGUAGCAAUACGGUUCCUAGAGUGUCGUACGGGUGCGUAACACGUAUGCAACCUACCUUUUACAGGAGUAUAGCUCGGUGAAAACCGAAUUAACCCUCCAUAAUAUCAUUUGAUGGCAUCAUUAGAUGAUUAAAACUGCGGUGGUAAAAGAUGGGCAUGCGUUUGAUUAGUUAGUUGGCAGUGUAACGGACUACCAAGACGAUGAUCAAUAGGGGACCUGAGAGGGUGAUCCCCCACACUGGCACUGAGAUACGGGCCAGACUCCUACGGGAGGCAGCAGUAGGGAAUAUUGGACAAUGGGUGAGAGCCUGAUCCAGCCAUGCCGCGUGCAGGAAGAAGGCGUUAUGCGUUGUAAACUGCUUUUGCCAGGGGAUAAAACGACUCUGCGGAGUUAAUUGAAGGUACCUGGUGAAUAAGCCACGGCUAACUACGUGCCAGCAGCCGCGGUAAUACGUAGGUGGCAAGCGUUGUCCGGAUUUAUUGGGUUUAAAGGGUGCGUAGGCGGCCCUGUAAGUCAGUGCUGAAAUAUCCCGGCUUAACCGGGAGGGUGGCAUUGAUACUGCAGGGCUUGAGUACAGAUGAAGUAGGCGGAAUUGACGGUGUAGCGGUGAAAUGCAUAGAUAUCGUCAAGAACACCGAUAGCGAAGGCAGCUUACUAAGCUGUAACUGACGCUGAGGCACGAAAGUGUGGGGAUCAAACAGGAUUAGAUACCCUGGUAGUCCACACUGUAAACGUUGAUGACUCGAUGUUGGCGAUACACAGCCAGCGUCCAAGAGCAAUCGUUAAGUCAUCCACCUGGGGAGUACGCCGGCAACGGUGAAACUCAAAGGAAUUGACGGGGGUCCGCACAAGCGGUGGAGCAUGUGGUUUAAUUCGAUGCAAUGCGAAAAACCUUACCCACCUUUGACAUGUACGGAAUUUGCCAGAGAUGGCUUAGUGCUCGAAAGAGAACCGUAACACAGGUGCUGCAUGGCUGUCGUCAGCUCGUGUCGUGAGAUGUUGGGUUAAGUCCCGCAACGAGCGCAACCCUUGUCAUUAGUUGCUACAUUUAGUUGGGCACUCUAGUGAGACUGCCGGUGACAAACCGGAGGAAGGUGGGGAUGACGUCAAGUCCUCAUGGCCCUUAUAGGUGGGGCUACACACGUCAUACAAUGGCUGGUACAAAGGGUUGCCAACCCGCGAGGGGGAGCUAAUCCCAUAAAACCAGUCGUAGUCCGGAUCGCAGUCUGCAACUCGACUGCGUGAAGUCGGAAUCGCUAGUAAUCGUGGAUCAGAAUGUCACGGUGAAUACGUUCCCGGGUCUUGUACACACCGCCCGUCACACCAUGGGAGCGGGUUCUGCCAGAAGUAGUUAGCCUAACCGCAAGGAGGGCGAUUACCACGGCAGGGUUCGUGACUGGGGUGAAGUCGUAACAAGGUA
rnacentral:rRNA from 1 species